UCCCACUCUCCAUUUUCAGUUAGGCCUUCCCCUUCUUUAGCCAAGGACAGAGGUUGUCCAUCUCAUUUCCGUGCAAACUUUGGUUGUUUUCAUUGUCUAUCAGAACUCUAAGACCUGUCUUCUGAGGAAAAACAGUGGCUCACGCCUUUCUCUUCUUAUGAUCAUUUCCUCUUCCAAAUAAAAUUCCAUCGGUUCUCAUGCAUGGACAGAGCUGUUCGUUCCCUUUUAGUGCAAUAUUCAUCUCCCUCUUCUGAAAACAUUAGGCGCUCUCAUUAAUUCGAUCAAGAAAGAGUCCAAAAGAUUUUAAUAUCUCUGAAGGAAUCACCAAGGGUGAUUUGAUUUUAAAAAAAAAACGGCUAGCUCAUGUGGAAUUCCCGCCCAACAAAAACCCUAGCUCGUCAGUAUAAAUGCUAGCUUUUCCAGUCACUUUCGGGGAUUUUUUUUUCGGACAUACUGAAAUUCUUAGUUGAGAGUUUUUACUUAGCCCUGUUUAAUUAGGGAUUCAACUUCAGGUAGAAUUUCCACCUAGUCUAAUUUGGUUUCUUUCAGUUUUAAAUUCUCUUCUUUUUUUUCGUUGUGGUCGAGUGUGUCGAGGGUCUUGGAAGGGAUUCUCAAUUCCAUUCUCGACAAGGUUUCCACUCGAGAAGAUUCGAGCAUCGUUCGCGUUCGAGCGUAGAUCGGAGAUUCAAAGCCCCACUUCACUGCCUCUGAAAAAGCAAAUGGAGUCUUAAUUCGGGAACUCACUCACCGAAAAAGUCUCAAAAUGAGAUUCGGCAUCAUUACUAUACCCGAGCAUGGAGUCAACAUAUUCCACAUUUCUUCAACCAUAUCGGACAAGCAAAGCUCGCUUGGGGCGAUCUCUCUUUCAUUUUGGCAUUCAUUCUGUUUGGUUUCCUUUUGAUUUUUCCGUGUUUUAUGUGAUUUGCGUUAGGACCUAUGUUUAACGUAGGAUUUGAUGAAGUUCUUUACUGGUUUCAGGAUUCCUAUUCUAGACUAAUAAUUUAACCAUUUGUUUUGCCAUGAAAGGACACAGUUAGCUAACCUAGAAAUCUUUUAAAA